GAGCAAAAACGGGUCUGGUAUAGCGGAGAUUCUUUGCAUUGAAGGUUGGCGAUAACAUUCUGCAGUUCUCCGUGCCACACAGAUUUCCUCUGCUGUGAUGGCCUCGAACAACUCGCCACAUC